GAUGAACGCUGGCGGCGUGCCUAAUACAUGCAAGUCGAGCGAACAGACGAGUAGCUUGCUCCUUUGACGUUAGCGGCGGACGGUUGAGUAACACGUGGUUAACCUACCUAUAAGACUGGGAUAACUUCGGGAAACCGGAGCUAAUACCGGAUAAUAUUUCUAACCGCAUGGUUCGAUAGUGAAAGAUGGCUUUUCUGUCACUUAUAGAUGGACCCGCGCCGUAUUAGCUAGUUGGUAAGGUAACGGCUUACCAAGGCAACGAUGCGUAGCCGACCUGAGAGGGGGAUAGGCCACACUGGAACGGAGACACGGUCCAGACUCCUAAGGGAGGCAGCAGUAGGGAAUCUUCCGCAAAGGGCGAAAGCCUGACGGAGCAACGCCGCGUGAGUGAUGAAGGUCUUCGGAUCGUAAAACUCUGUUAUUAGGGAAGAACAAAUGUGUAAGUAACUGUGCACGUCUUGACGGUACCUAAUCAGAAAGCCACGGCUAACUACGUG
rnacentral:rRNA from 1 species